UUCCUACGGGAGGCAGCAGUGGGGGAUAUUGCACAAUGGGGGGAACCCUGAUGCAGCGACGCCGCGUGGGUGAAGGAGUAUUUCGGUAUGUAAAGCCCUAUCGGCAGGGAAGAAGUAAGACGGUACCUGACUAAGAAGCCCCGGCUAACUACGUGCCAGCAGCCGCGGUAAUACGUAGGGGGCAAGCGUUAUCCGGAUUUACUGGGUGUAAAGGGAGCGUAGGCGGCGAUGCAAGUCAGAAGUGAAAGCCCGGGGCUCAACUCCGGGACUGCUUUUGAAACUGUGUUGCUAGAUUGCAGGAGAGG
rnacentral:rRNA from 1 species